ACGAACGCUGGCGGCGUGCUUAACACAUGCAAGUCGAACGGAAAGGCCCUGCUUGCAGGGUACUCGAGUGGCGAACGGGUGAGUAACACGUGGGUGAUCUGCCCUGCACUUCGGGAUAAGCCUGGGAAACUGGGUCUAAUACCGGAUAGGAGCCAUUUUUAGUGUGAUGGUUGGAAAGUUUUUUCGGUGUAGGAUGAGCUCGCGGCCUAUCAGCUUGUUGGUGGGGUAAUGGCCUACCAAGGCGGCGACGGGUAGCCGGCCUGAGAGGGUGGACGGCCACAUUGGGACUGAGAUACGGCCCAGACUCCUACGGGAGGCAGCAGUGGGGAAUAUUGCACGAUGGGCGCAAGCCUGAUGCAGCGACGCCGCGUGGGGGAUGACGGCCUUCGGGUUGUAAACUCCUUUCGCUAGGGACGAAGCUUUUGUGACGGUACCUAGAUAAGAAGCACCGGCUAACUACGUG
rnacentral:rRNA from 1 species